CCUUGACAUACUAAGAACUUUCCAGAGAUGGAUUGGUGCCUUCGGGAACUUAGAUACAGGUGCUGCAUGGCUGUCGUCAGCUCGUGUCGUGAGAUGUUGGGUUAAGUCCCGNAACGAGCACAACCCUUUUCCUUAUUUGCCAGCGGGUCAUGCCGGGAACUUUAAGGAUACUGCCAGUGACAAACUGGAGGAAGGCGGGGACGACGUCAAGUCAUCAUGGCCCUUACGGCCAGGGCUACACACGUGCUACAAUGGUCGGUACAAAGGGUUGCUACCUCGCGAGAGGAUGCUAAUCUCAAAAAGCCGAUCGUAGUCCGGAUCGCAGUCUGCAACUCGACUGCGUGAAGUCGGAAUCGCUAGUAAUCGCGGAUCAGAAUGCCGCGGUGAAUACGUUCCCGGGCCUUGUACACACCGCCCGUCACACCAUAGGAGUUUGUUGCACCAGAAGUAGGUAGUCUAACCGCAAGGAGGACGCUUACCACGGUGUGGCCGAUGACUGGGGUGAAGUCGUAACAAGGUAAGCGUAGAUGA
rnacentral:rRNA from 1 species